rnacentral:rRNA from 1 species
AGCGAACGCUAGCGGCGGGCCUAACACAUGCAAGUCGAGCGCAUACCUUCGGGUAUGAGCGGCGGACGGGUGAGUAACGCGUAGGUCAUCUACCCUUUGGUGGGGGAUAACCCAGGGAAACUUGGGCUAAUACCGCACGAGGUCUACGGAUCAAAGCCUUCGGGCGCCAGAGGAUGAGCCUGCGUCGCAUUACCUAGUUGGCGGGGUAACGGCCCACCAAGGGGACGAUGCGUAGCUGGUCUGAGAGGAUGAUCAGCCACACUGGGACUGAGACACGGCCCAGACUCCUACGGGAGGCAGCAGUGGGGAAUAUUGCGCAAUGGGGGGAAACCCUGACGCAGCCACGCCGCGUGGGUGAUGAAGGCCUUCGGGUUGUAAAGCCCUGUCGGGAGGGACGAAUUCUUGACGGUACCUCCAAAGAAAGACACCGGCUAACUCCGUGCCAGCAGCCGCGGUAAU